rnacentral:rRNA from 1 species
UACGGAGGAGGCAAGCGUUAUCCGGAAUUAUUGGGCGUAAAGCGUCCGCAGGUGGCACCUCAAGUCUGCUGUCAAAGACCGGGGCUUAACCCCAGAAAGGCAGUGGAAACUGAAGUGCUAGAGUGCAGUAGAGGUAGAGGGAAUUCCAGGUGUAGCGGUGAAAUGCGUAGAUAUCUGGAGGAAUACCGGUGGCGAAGGCGGCAUCCUGGACCGAGAUUGACACUGAUGAGCGAAAGCUAGGGGAGCAAACGGG